rnacentral:rRNA from 1 species
GAUUGAGUUCCGCCCCAAUUUCUUAGGGGGGCAGCAGUGGGAAUAUUGCACAAUGGGCCCAAGCCUGAUGCAGCGACGCCGCUUGAGGGAUGACGGCCUUCGGGUUGUAAACCUCUUUCACCAGGGACGAAGCGUAAGUGACGGUACCUGGAGAAGAAGCACCGGCCAACUACGUGCCAGCAGCCGCGGUAAUACGUAGGGUGCGAGCGUUGUCCGGAAUUACUGGGCGUAAAGAGCUCGUAGGUGGUUUGUCGCGUUGUUCGUGAAAACUCACAGCUUAACUGUGGGCGUGCGGGCGAUACGGGCAGACUGGAGUACUGCAGGGGAGACUGGAAUUCCUGGUGUAGCGGUGGAAUGCGCAGAUAUCAGGAGGAACACCGGUGGCGAAGGCGGGUCUCUGGGCAGUAACUGACGCUGAGGAGCGAAAGCGUGGGGAGCGAACAGGAUUAGAUACCCUGGUAGUCCACGCCGUAAACGGUGGGUACUAGGUGUGGGUUUCCUUCCUUGGGAUCCGUGCCGUAGCUAACGCAUUAAGUACCCCGCCUGGGGAGUACGGCCGCAAGGCUAAAACUCAAAGAAAUUGACGGGGGCCCGCACAAGCGGCGGAGCAUGUGGAUUAAUUCGAUGCAACGCGAAGAACCUUACCUGGGUUUGACAUGCACAGGACGCCGGCAGAGAUGUCGGUUCCCUUGUGGCCUGUGUGCAGGUGGUGCAUGGCUGUCGUCAGCUCGUGUCGUGAGAUGUUGGGUUAAGUCCCGCAACGAGCGCAACCCUUGUCUCAUGUUGCCAGCACGUUAUGGUGGGGACUCGUGAGAGACUGCCGGGGUCAACUCGGAGGAAGGUGGGGAUGACGUCAAGUCAUCAUGCCCCUUAUGUCCAGGGCUUCACACAUGCUACAAUGGCCGGUACAAAGGGCUGCGAUGCCGUGAGGUGGAGCGAAUCCUUUCAAAGCCGGUCUCAGUUCGGAUCGGGGUCUGCAACUCGACCCCGUGAAGUCGGAGUCGCUAGUAAUCGCAGAUCAGCAACGCUGCGGUGAAUACGUUCCCGGGCCUUGUACACACCGCCCGUCACGUCAUGAAAGUCGGUAACACCCGGAAGCCCGUGGCCUAACCCGUAAGGGAGGGAGCGGUCGAAGUGAUCGCGGUGGCAU